CUCAUACCUAAACCCAAGCAUCACUUUCUUAUUGUGAUGAUUUAAACAGAUGCAAACAGCAAGCACAUCUUGUCACCUUUGCGAGGCAGUGGCUGUGCCCCUCACAGUAAAUUUGGAAGUUCUACAUCC
ensembl:snoRNA